rnacentral:rRNA from 1 species
UACGGAGGGUGCGAGCGUUGUCCGGAAUCACUGGGCGUAAAGGGCGCGUAGGCGGCUUCUCAAGCGUGUGGUGAAAGUCCGGGGCUCAACCCCGGAUCGGCCGUGCGGACUGGGGAGCUCGAGUUCUGUAGAGGCGGGUGGAAUUCCGGGUGUAGCGGUGGAAUGCGUAGAGAUCCGGAAGAACACCGGUGGCGAAGGCGGCCCGCUGGGCAGAGACUGACGCUGAGGCGCGACAGCGUGGGGGAGCAAACAGG